CUGUUUCUAUGCAUAUCAGGAAUUAUACAUGGAGGAGAGCUGUUGGAUACUCCUGCCAUUCUUGAUGAAGCUGUUAAAUACCCGAAAUCCGUCGGAGCGGAGAUGAUAUGCCUGGGAUACAGAAAUUUGAUGACUAGAAGUGCCAAAACAGUUAUCUUGAAACUACCUCCAGAGAAAUAAAAGACAAGGGUGGGAGUGGGGCCAAAAGGGCAAAAGAGUAGCAGCAGUGGAGGAAAAGGGUUUUGCUUUUGCUUUGCUGGUGUGCCUGCGUUGCCCAUGGGACUUGUAUGCCUAAUUCUGGGGUUUGGACUAAGAGUUGUGCCUCUCCGUUUCCCCUUUAUAUGCGGACUGCCGGUGGAAGGAGGCUAUAUUGUAAUGAUAGAUAUCUGCACAUAGCAGUGGUAGCUCCACCACGUCUUUCGAAAUCCAUAUCCCUAUAGUUCUGUUUUAUGUGAUAUCUAUCUAUCUGAGCAUUGAACUGAAGGGAUGGCAAUCGGAUUGGAUCAGAUAUAAAUGGAUCAGAUCAGAUACGGAUUGAGCCA